UACGUAGGUGGCAAGCGUUGUCCGGAUUUACUGGGUGUAAAGGGCGCGUAGGCGGGUAUGCAAGUCAGAUGUGAAAUACCGGGGCUUAACCCCGGAGCUGCAUUUGAAACUGUGUAUCUUGAGUAUCGGAGAGGCAGGCGGAAUUCCUAGUGUAGCGGUGAAAUGCGUAGAUAUUAGGAGGAACACCAGUGGCGAAGGCGGCCUGCUGGACGACAACUGACGCUGAGGCGCGAAAGCGUGGGGAGCAAAC
rnacentral:rRNA from 1 species